AGCAGCCGCUGUAAUUCCAGCUCCAAUAACGUAUAUUAAAGUUGUUGCAGUUAAAAAGCUCGUAGUUGAAUUUCGGGAUUAAUAUGCUGGUCGUGCCAUUGGUACGUACUAGUAUUAUUGAUUUCUCCCUUCUGAUGAAUCAUGAUGUCAUUAAUUUGAUGUCAUGGGGAAUCAGGACUGUUACUUUGAAAAAUUAGAGUGUUUAAAGCAGGCUCGCGCUUGAAUACAUUAGCAUGGAAUAAUGAAAUAGGACGUUUGAUUCUAUUUUGUUGGUUUCUAGGAUUGACGUAAUGAUUAAUAGGGAUAGUUGGGGGCAUUAGUAUUCAAUUGUCAGAGGUGAAAUUCUUGGAUUUAUUGAAGACUAACUACUGCGAAAGCAUUUGCCAAGGAUGUUUUCAUUAAUCAAGAACGAAAGUUAGGGGGUCGAAGACGAUCAGAUACCGUCGUAGUCUUAACCAUAAACUAUGCCGACUAGGGAUCGGAUGAUGUUAAUUAUGUA
rnacentral:rRNA from 1 species